UACAGAGGUCUCAAGCGUUGUUCGGAUUCAUUGGGCGUAAAGGGUGUGUAGGUGGCGCGCUAAGUCGGGUGUGAAAUUUCGGAGCUUAACUCCGAAACUGCAUUCGAUACUGGCCGUGCUUGAGGACUGGAGAGGAGACUGGAAUUUAUGGUGUAGCAGUGAAAUGCGUAGAUAUCGUAAGGAAGACCAGUGGCGAAGGCGGGUCUCUGGACAGUUCCUGACGCUGAGGCACGAAGGCCAGGGGAGCAAACGGG
rnacentral:rRNA from 1 species